rnacentral:tRNA from 1 species
UAAGAAGAGGUGUGAAUGGAUGCACAAAGAGUUUUGAUCUCUUAAGAAUAGGUUCAAAUCCUUUUUUCUUAA